rnacentral:rRNA from 1 species
GAUGAACGCUGGCGGCGUGCCUAAUACAUGCAAGUCGAGCGGACAGACGAGGAGCUUGCUCCUCUGACGUUAGCGGCGGACGGGUGAGUAACACGUGGAUAACCUACCUAUAAGACUGGGAUAACUUCGGGAAACCGGAGCUAAUACCGGAUAAUAUAUUGAACCGCAUGGUUCAAUAGUGAAAGACGGUUUUGCUGUCACUUCUAGAUGGAUCUGCGCCGCAUUAGCUAGUUGGUAAGGUAACGGCUUACCAAGGCAACGAUGCGUAGCCGACCUGAGAGGGUGAUCGGCCACACUGGAACUGAGACACGGUCCAGACUCCUACGGGAGGCAGCAGUAGGAAAUCUUCCGCAAUGGGCGAAAGCUUGACGGAGCAACGCCGCGUGAGUGAUGAAGGUCUUCGGAUCGUAAAACUCUGUUAUUAGGGAAAAACAAAUGUGUAAGUAACUAUGCACGUCUUGACGGUACCUAAUCAGAAAGCCACGGCUAACUACGUG